GGGCCUUGCUCAAGGGCACCUCAGUCGUGGCCGGCCCGAGACUCGAACCCACAACCUUUGGGUUACGAAUCAGACUCUCUAACCAUUAGGCCACCUCGAGGCCAGACAGAGUGUGUCUGUGUCCGAAGCAGUGAGACUUUUGAGUUUAAAAGCCCGACGUUUUGUUCAUUUUUGUCCGAAGUACUGGAGCUGUGAAUAGAUAGACUAACGCUUAACUACAUAGCUUGUAGUCACAGAAACUGUGUAAAGUUUAAAGACUUAGAUUUAAGGAAAGCUGUGAGUUUGUAAAAAUGGAACAGCUGAUUGUUAAGUACAUCGCUAAACACGGUUCUCAGGGAAUGUUUGAUGGAAUAGAGAACAUGGUUGAUAUACCGUAUGAGUAUGAGGGCUAUUUCUAAGUUUGAAAAUGACCCUAAAAUGCCCAAGAACAAAAAAAGGACAGAUUGCCAAUGCACUGCAAGCAGUUCUUGCAUCGUACAAAGUCACUAGAAAGGCUUUAAAUGCAUUGAAGGCUGAAAAUGAGCAACUGCAAUCUCGACUAGAUGAUGGGAUAAUAUCUAAAAGAGAUUACCAGAUGAGUGAAAGAAGAACAGAUUAGGAUGCAGAGUGAGAUUGCACGCCGUAAAACUAACAUAACAAAACUAAGCAUGUUUAGUUCAUCUGUGGAAACAUUGUUCAAAGAUUUACAGGAAGCAAAGUCUGUUUGUCAAUUCCUGAUAAAAAAUGGCACAACUGAAACUAGCAGCAGUAAGACAUCUGUAUGUGGCAUGUGGAGUAAUCAGGUUCCUGAGUUGUUAAACAGUGAUGAGAACUCAGACAGAGAUUCUCAGUCAGUCAGCAGUAAAUACUCUGACUGUACAGUUAAGUUCCCCAUGGCUCCAGUUCACUUGACUACAACUAUGUGUGCUAGUGAAGAAACGGAGGAACCAGUGACCUCUACUGUGGUAAGAGGGUUUAAACCCAGUGAGCUACAAGCUGUGAUUAAAAGUAUUGGUAAAUUUGAUCCCGCCAAACAAGAUCCAUUAGACUUUCUGAAGGUUUUCGAGCUAUAUGCUGACAUUUACAAAUCCACAGCUGGUGAUGUGUGUGUGUUGUUAACUGUGUGUUUGCCUGACACUUUGUCUGGAGCGUUAAAUGAGAAAGUCAAAACUAGAACUGACGAUAAGUUAGAGAGGAAACAAGCACUGCUUGAAGUCCUAGGUGUAAUGCCAGGUGACUGGGAUAAGAUAUCUGAUGUACACAUGAGGACAGGGAGCACCCCAGGGCAUUCUCACAGCGAUUAUUGGAGACAUUUAAAACUUUCAGUGGCAAUCCUGACAUCACUCCGAAUGAUGUCAGUUUUAAAUCUGCUUUGAUUAACAAAUGUGACUCACUCACCCGUUCUGCUGUGUCGAUGUUUGUAACCCAUCUGUCUGAUUAUAACAACAUCAUUGCUAAAAUGACAGUUUUUCAACAACAAUGCUAAGACAAAGAGUCCCAUCCUGUGUCAGCAGUAGGUGUUAAAAAUCUCAAUAAGAAUAGCACCAGCCAGAUUUCUUGUGAAAAAUGAGAACUACACUACUGCAGAUAGAAAGGAAAGACUACCCCCUCGUAACCCUGAUAACCUCCUGGUGUGUUAUUCAUGUGGCAAUGAGGGACAUAUUUCAAGGGAAUGCAAAUUUUCCCUUAAGAGAUCAGGCCCCAAAACAGAUUUACACCAGUUACAGGCUACAGUAAACAGACUGAGGACGAAGCUCAAACAUCUGUGUAACUCCUGGCCUGGUGUUGUUCACCAAACUACUCAACAAAUUUGGCAAAGUCAGAAAAACAGAAUACAUUCUGGUCAGAAUGUGCACCAUCACAAAUUUGACAGUAGUGAUGACGUCGUGGUAAAGAAUGACCAAAAUGAGGGCCCAUGUUCUGCUCACCGGGAGAGACCAUGCAGAAAUUCACAUCACAGAACUAAAAACCGUCAACCUGGUAAGAGAUCAUUCCACAUAGGUCAAUUAAUAUCAUAAAAAACUGAUGGCAGUCAUCAGGGCCGUGUAAAUAGGCAAGCUUAUGUUGUAUGUGUUUGUAAUGUUUUUUGUGUGUGCUGUGUUUUAAAAAAAAGGGGGGGGGUAUAAAUUUCAAAAUGUUUUCAACUGUUUUUCAGGUCAAAAAGAAAUAGAUGUGGGGAUGGACUAGGAAGGCAGUUCUCGUGACAGCAUUAAAGGUACAGCAGUGCCCAACGCUGUCCUAAAGUGCUUAUCUACAAUGGAUCCAGGUUCCGGUCUUGGUGAACCUUACAGCCUGAUCUCCAGACCCAGAUGAACAGUGUAACAGGAAUGUAUAAGGUCUUCUUGACAACAGCGUUCCUGAGGUAUCGCAGUGAUGUCGGAACCAGUUCAUCACCUCCUCAGAGAACAUCUUCAACAGCCAUUUAUGCUGCGGCUCCUGGGGAGCAGUGGAUUACGAGUCGGACUCUCUAACCAUUAGGCCACGACUUGCCCCAGGGUUUUCGCAUAUCCCAAGUUAUGGGGUCAGAGCGCAGGGUCAAGCCAUAGGGAUGGCGCCCCUGGAGCAGGUGAGGUUAUGGAUCUUGCCCAAGGAACCAACGUUGAUGUCUCAGCAGCUUGUGGACUCGAACCCCGACCUUCUGAUCAAGAUCCCAGCGCAUUAACUGCUGGAUCAUCACGUCCUCACAAAUUUGUUUCUCUGGACAUGUGACUGCUAAACUUUCUAACAUCUGUAUUAAAUUUUAAAUCACACAUGACACUGACACAUGAUAAGCAAAUGAUUCACUUCUUUUGCACAACGCUUUCGUGUGUUGAUCGUUUUCAGUGAUAUCUUGCAAUGACCAUCAAUGAAUAAUUUAAGUAACAUGAUUGUGUAAUGUUUCAGAUCAGUGCUAGAGGUCGCUGUUGUACUAAGGAAUUCUUCAACAAUCCAUACCUUCCAAUGAAUAUGAACUUAAAUAUUGAAUUAACUAAAUUAUUUACUAAAUUGAUAUAAAAACCCAGUAUUUUGGUACUAUUAAAUAUUAUGCUACUAUUACUAUUAUUGCUAAUAAUAAUAAUAUUAUCUAGGUAUAUAUGUAUGUAUUUAAUUACGCCUUUUUAAGUGUUUACAAUGAAUAAUUCCUGCAUGUGUUUUUAUUUCAUUUAUUAUUGUUUUCUAUUUCUUCACGAUGUAAUUUUACUUUCAGUUUUACUAUCCAUCUGACAGACUGAACCUGUUUAAACACUUCCUCUUGGGACACUUUGUCAUGGUGUCUCACUUUCCGCUUUCUGAGAAAAUGGUUUUAAUUCAAUGUGACAUUCACCUUUUAAAGUAUCAGCAGACUUCAAGGUCAUUAGAACAGUAACGAGACCUCAGGCCUCUGAUUCCUGUGUGGAAAAUAUUAACAAGAAGGAAUUCAGAUGUGGGAUUAAAUACAGAAAUCAGAAUGUUUACUCUGUUUUAAGAUUGAAAACAAAAUACAAACUUUUAUGUGU